rnacentral:rRNA from 1 species
GAUGAACGCUGGCGGCGUGCCUAAUACAUGCAAGUCGAGCGAACAGACGAGGAGCUUGCUCCUCUGACGUUAGCGGCGGACGGGUGAGUAACACGUGGAUAACCUACCUAUAAGACUGGGAUAACUUCGGGAAACCGGAGCUAAUACCGGAUAAUAUCUUGAACCGCAUGGUUCAAUAGUGUAAGACGGUUUUGCUGUCACUUAUAGAUGGAUCCGCUCCGCAUUAGCUAGUUGGUCAGGUAACGGCUUACCAAGGCAACGAUGCGUAGCCGACCUGAGCGGGUGAUCGGCCACACUGGAACGGAGACACGGUCCAGACUCCUACGGAGGGCAGCAGUAGGGAAUCUUCCGCAAUGGGCGAAAGCCUGACGGGGCAACGCCGCGUGAGUAAUGAAGUUCUUGGAAUCGUAAAACUCUGUUAUAAGGGAAGAACAAAUGUGUAAGUAACUAUGCACGUCUUGACGGUACCUAAUCAGAAAGCCACGGCUAACUACGUG